GACGAACGCUGGCGGCGUGCUUAACACAUGCAAGUCGAACGGUAAGGCCCUUCGGGGUACACGAGUGGCGAACGGGUGAGUAACACGUGGGUGAUCUGCCCUGCACUUCGGGAUAAGCCUGGGAAACUGGGUCUAAUACCGGAUAGGACCACUGCCUGCAUGGGUGGUGGUGGAAAGCUUUUGCGGUGUGGGAUGGGCCCUCGGCCUAUAAGCUUGUUGGUGGGGUGAUGGCAUACCAAGGCGACGACGGGUAGCCGGCCUGAGAGGGUGACCGGCCACAGUGCGACUGAGGUACGGGCCGGACUGAGACGGGAGGCAGCAGUGGGGAAUAUUGCACAAUGGGCGCAAGCCUGAUGCAGCGCCGCCGCGUGAGGGAUGACGGCCUUCGGGUUGUAAACCUCUUUCAGCACCGACGAGGCGCAAGUGACGGUAGGUGCAGAAGAAGGACCGGCCAACUACGUGCCAGCAGCCGCCGUAA
rnacentral:rRNA from 1 species